rnacentral:snRNA from 1 species
AGAUAUGAGGGCAACCUGGCUGCCACAUCUGUGACCCCGUUUUUCUCCGGGUAGAUCUGGCUGACCUGAGCGGCUGGGCAGGUGUCCCCUCCCUUCCUUCCUAGACCACCCCCGAGAGAGAGGCCGAUUUCCUCCAUCAAGGGUAUACAGAUGGCUGCACUCCCCUGCUAGAACCUCCAAAUGAGCUCUCCAAAAAUAUCAUAAUAGAAUUAAGAGGAACAUUUUAGAUGACACAAUAUAGAUUGCAUG